rnacentral:rRNA from 1 species
CGAACGGGUGAGUAACACGUGAGCAACCUGCCCUAUACAACGGGAUAACACAGAGAAAUUUGUGCUAAUACGGUAUAAGACCACAGUAUCGCAUGAUACAGGGGUAAAAGAUUUAUCGGUAUAGGAUGGGCUCGCGACCCAUUAGCUAGUUGGUGAGGUAACGGCCCACCAAGGCAACGAUGGGUAGCCGACCUGAGAGGGUGAUUGGCCACACUGGGACUGAGACACGGCCCAGACUCCUACGGAAGGCAGCAG